rnacentral:tRNA from 1 species
GGAUGGGUGGCCGAGUGGUUGAAGGCACCGCACUUGAAAUGCGGUAGGUGGGUAAACCCUGCCUCGCGGGUUCGAAUCCCGCCCCAUCCGCCA